rnacentral:snRNA from 1 species
GUGCUCGCUUUGGCAGCACAUAUACUAAAAUUGGAACAAUACAAAAGAAGAUUAGCAUGGGCCCUUGUGCAGGAUGACACGAAAAUUCGUGCAGUGUUCAUAUUUUUG